rnacentral:tRNA from 1 species
GCCUGGGUGGCUCAGUCAGUUGAGCGUCUGACUUCGGCUCAGGUCAUGAUCUCCUGGUUUAUGGGUUCGAGCCCCGUGUCGGGCU